rnacentral:rRNA from 1 species
CUGGUACUGAGACACGGACCAGACUCCUACGGGAGGCAGCAGUGAGGAAUAUUGGUCAAUGGAGGCAAAUCUGAACCAGCCAUGCCGCGUGAAGGAUGACGGCCCUAUGGGUUGUAAACUUCUUUUAUAUGGGAAGGAACUUAUCUACGUGUAGACAACUGACGGU